rnacentral:rRNA from 1 species
GAUGAACGUUGGCGGCGUGGAUUAGGCAUGCAAGUCGAGCGCGAACCGUAGCAAUACGGGGAGAGCGGCGAAAGGGAGAGGAAUACGUGGAUACCUACCCUCAGGUUCAGGAUAGCUAUGGGAAACUAUAGGUAAUACUGAAUAAUAUCUCCGGAUCAAAGGUGUGAUUCCACCUGAGGAGGGGUCCGCGUCCUAUUAGCUAGUUGGUGGGGUAACGGCUCACCAAGGCGAAGAUGGGUAUGGGAUGUGAGAGCAUGAUCCCACUCACUGGGAAUGAGACACUGCCCAGACACCUACGGGUGGCUGCAGUCGAGAAUCUUCGGCAAUGGGGGAAACCCUGACCGAGCGACGCCGCGUGCGAGAUGAAGGCCUUCGGGUUGUAAAUCGCUGUCAGAGGGGAGGAAAUGCUAGGGAGUUACCUUCCUAGUUUGACCUAGCCUCAGAGGAAGGACGGGCUAAGUUCGUGCCAGCCGCCGCAGUAA